rnacentral:rRNA from 1 species
UACAGAGGGGGCAAGCGUUAUUCGGAAUUAUUGGGCGUAAAGGGCGCGUAGGCGGCUUGGCAAGUGGAAGGUGAAAUCCCUCGGCUUAACCGAGGAACUGCCUUCCAGACUGCUUUGCUUGAGGCCGGGAGAGGUGAGUGGAAUUCCCAGUGUAGCGGUGAAAUGCUUAGAUAUCGUCAAGAACACCUAUAGCGAAGGCAGCUUACUAGGCUGUAACUGACGCUGAGGCGCGAAAGCUAGGGGAGCAAACGGG